UACAAAAGAAAAACCCAUUACACCAAAAAAAAGGAAAGAAAACAAGUGGGACCCAAUAUACACUUGGUCAACCACUCAAUUGGCACCAACAACCAAUCACAUGAAGCCACGUAACACCUAAUUAACAUGUUUAAGCGGCGACCCGAGUGCUCUUCCACAUAUUUAAUUGAAAUCGGAAUCCCUCUUUUCCUUUCCUCUAUUUUUCUGUGAAAACAACGCCUUUUUUCCCCAAUUCCCUUCCCCCGCAACCUUCCCAGGUACCUCCCCCAUUGCUCCAGUUAAGAGAUUCGGCAUCUGCCUCAAUAGUUUUGAUUUUUGCAAUGUUAUGAAAAUUGGUGCGAACCGUGGGGACAAGAAUUGCGGUUUGGUUAAAAAUUAUAAUUGCCAAAUUUAAAAACUGUUUUUGAAAUGUUGAACCAAUUGAAAAUCGGUCAGUCAAACCGAAUGGCAAUACGACAGUUUUCACCUUUUGAAUGAAAACGACGCCGUUUCACUGUUAAAAAGAAAAAAAAAAAAAAGAAGGAAG